rnacentral:rRNA from 1 species
AUUGAACGCUGGCGGCAUGCCUUACACAUGCAAGUCGAACGGCAGCACGGGAGCAAUCCUGGUGGCGAGUGGCGAACGGGUGAGUAAUAUAUCGGAACGUGCACAGUCGUGGGGGAUAACGUAGCGAAAGCUACGCUAAUACCGCAUCCGAUCUACGGAUGAAAGCGGGGGAUAGCAAGACCUCGCUAAUAGAUGAGCCUAUGUCCAAUUAGAUAGUUGGUAGGGUAAUGGCCUACCAAGCCGACGAUGGGUAGCUGGUCUGAGAGGAUGAUCAGCCACACUGGAACUGGCACACGGUCCAGACUCCUACGGGAGGCAGCAGUGGGGAAUAUUGCGCAAUGGAGGAAACUCUGACGCAGCGACGCCGCGUGGGUGAUGAAGGCCUUCGGGUUGUAAAGCUCUGUCGGCUGGGAAAAAGGGUAUCGUGCUAAUACCACGAUGCUUUGAUGGUACCAGCAAAGGAAGCACCGGCUAACUCUGUGCCAGCCGCCGCCGUAA